ACGCUCGACACCUACGGGAGGUAGCAGUGGGGAAUAUUGGGCAAUGGGCGCAAGCCUGACCCAGCAAUGCCGCGUGAAGGAAGAAGGCUUUCGGGUUGUAAACUUCUUUUGUCAGGGAAGAGAAGAAGACGGUACCUGACGAAUAAGCCACGGCUAACUACGUGCAGCAGCCGCGGUAAUCUGAGCGGGCUGGCAAGGC
rnacentral:rRNA from 1 species